GAUGAACGCUGGAGGCGUGCCUAAUACAUGCAAGUCGAGCGAACGGACGAGAAGCUUGCUUCUCUGAUGUUAGCGGCGGACGGGUGAGUAACACGUGGAUAACCUACCUAUAAGACUGGGAAAACUUCGGGAAACCGGAGCUAAUACCGGAUAAUAUUUUGAACCGCAUGGUUCAAAAGUGAAAGACGGUCUUGCUGUCACUUAUAGAUGGAUCCGCGCUGCAUUAGCUAGUUGGUAAGGUAACGGCUUACCAAGGCAACGAUGCAUAGCCGACCUGAGAGGGUGAUCGGCCACACUGGAACUGAGACACGGUCCAGGCUCCUACGGGAGGCAGCAGUAGGGAAUGUUCCGCAGUGGGCGAAAGCCUUACGGAGCAACGCCGCGUGAGUGAUGAAGGUCUUCGGAUCGUAAAACUCUGUUAUUAGGGAAGAACAGAUGUGUAAGUAACUGUGCACAUCUUGACGGUACCUAAUCAGAAAGCCACGGCUAACUACGUG
rnacentral:rRNA from 1 species